UUAAGCCUCCCUCUAAACAGUUUCCCUCUUAUUCUUGCUUCCUCUAUCUCAGGGUUAAGAAAAUUCCAAAGCCUGUGUUUUUUCAGAGGAUGAUCACAGGAUUUGGCCACAUCCUGGGUAUUCGCCUGAUUUAAGAGAAAGCCUGAGUUUCUUUUUCCUAGAAUAGGAACCUUCCCUAACCAGACUAGCUAGUAACCACUGACAUUUCACCACCUUGAGCUCUCAUUGGCUGGGUCAGAUGCAUGAGGACAAAUUCAUGAUCAAACAAACACUUUGUAAAAUUAGGAAAUCCUCUUUCUCCACUCCUGGAUCUCAACUCUGUUUGCUUUAAGAGCAAAAGAAAGAAGAGAAAACUGGGAUUUUGUUCCCUUUCUUCCACUUCGCUGAUAAAAGAGUCAGGUCACAUCAGUCCUAAGUUUUCUCCUCUGUCAGAAAUGUAUUUUGAUGAUUUGUAAUUAGAUUGUGCAUACAUGUAUGAAGACAUUAUUAUUCUAUUAAGUGAUUUCUAAUUUCCUUCCAUCUCCCUCCUUUCUCUGCUACCCUCAUUUCCAAGGGCAGUUGCCAACUAUUUCCCUAGCUUUUAUGAGUCUGGAACCCCUAUGGCUUUGCCCAAAGUGAGCAUCGGGGGUGAGACCAGAUGCUGACUUCUUGUAAGUAGUCUGUCUAUUUAGAGUUUCACAACCUUCCCAUCUAUUUCCUAGGAAAUCUGAAUGUAAGGAAUAUAAUAGUCUCUGUGAGACAGCUAAAUGAAGAAGCUCCAAGGACGCUGACACAGAAGUGGAAAUUCCUGUCAGUAUUAGACCAGUAUAACUGUCCAAAGCUCUUUCUUAUAGUGCCAAAUUAGAUAAAUAUUAUCUGACCUUCAGUUAUCCAGGAGCACGAAUCAACACCAAGCUCCUUGAUCCCUGCCCCCAAUGCCUGGUCCUGUGAGACUCAGAGGACUCUUAAAAACUCACCAGACUUCACUAGUUUUGGAGUGAGUAUUCCAUUCCCUCUGGGACUCCACUACAGUACAGCUAAGAGCCCAGCAGCCAUGUUUCCACUAUUCUUCUGACUUACCUUUAUCAUGUGAUUCUUUUUCCCUCAGAAUUACUAUAAUAUUUUGGGGGUUGUUUCAUUGCUGUAGGCCCUUAGGAUUCUGGCUCUCUAAAUCUAAGCCACGAUACUGGCAGGAAAGUAAUCCCUGGAGGGAUGGGGCAAGUCAACCAAGACCUCAAAUUCACCAUGAAUGGAGGUCAGGGAGGAGGAAAGAAUGUCCAUUUCAGUCCACAAUGAACUGUCUUUGAUGGAGCCGCUUGUCUUCUCAGUCCUCUUUAUCUUGUUUCAUCCUUUUCUGACCCUAAACUCCUCACGGUUUUCAGGCUUCCCACUGCCUCCUGUACCACCUGUCCAGUGACUGUCACUAUAUCCUGGAUUUAUCAGAGAACUGCAUGGAGAGAAAAUGCCAGAGAAAAGAAUACGUGUCCUGCCAGGAAAUCAUUAUAUACUUCAACAACAACAUUUUAUGAUGAUCAGUUCUGAUGGACGUGGCCCUCUUCAACAAUGAGAUGAACCAAAUCAGUUCCAAUAGAGCAGUAAUGAACUGAACCAGCUACUCCCAGCAAAAGAACUCUGGGAAAUGAGUAUGAACCACUUCAUAGAAUUCCCAAUCCCUCUAUUUUUGUCUGCCUGCAUUUUUUAUUUCCUUCAUAGGUUAAUUGUACACUAUUUCAAAGUCCGAUUCUUUUUGUACAGCAAAAUAACUGUAUGACAUGUAUACAUAUAUUGUAUUUAACUUAGACUUUAACAUAUUUAAUAUGUAUUGGUCAACCUGCCAUCUGGGGGAGGGGGAGGAAGGAGGGGAAAAAUUGGAACAAAAGGUUUGGCAAUUGUCAAUGCUGAAAAAUUACCUAUGCAUAUAUCUUGUAAAUAAAAAGCAAAAUAAAUAAAUAAAUAAAUAAGUACACCCACAAUUUUGCUCAAAAAAAAAAAAAAAAAAAAAGAAUAUGUGUCCUGGAGACCUCCAUGAACUGAUGCCAAGUGAAUUAAACAGAACCAGGAGAUCAUUAUACAUGGCAACCACAAGACUAUACGACAAUUAAUUCUGAUGGACGUGGCUCUCUUCAAAAGUGAAAUGAUUCAAACUAGUUCUAUUUGCUCAGUGAUGAAGAGAGCCAUCUACGCCCAGAGAGAACUGUGAGAAUUGAGUUGGAACACAACAUUGCAUUCUCUCUCUCUGUUAUUUACUUGCAUUUUGUUUUCUCAAUUUUUAUUUUUCUUCCUUUUUGAUCUGAUUUUUCUUGUGCAACAAGCUAACUGUAUAAAUAUGUAUACAUAUAUUGCAUGUACUGGACUACCUGCCAGCUAGGGAAGGGGGUGGAGGGAAAGAGGGGAAAAUUUGGAACACACGGCUUUGCAAGGGUCAAUGUUGGAAAAAUUAUCCAUGCAUGUGUUUUGUAAAUAAAAAGCUUUAAUUAAAAAAAAAA